GAGGCUCCACGGGAGAAUCUUGCCUCUUCCAGUUUAGAGUGGCUGCUGGAAUUCCUCGGAAGAUGGGGCACACCGGACUUUAGGCUGAUGGAGAGGAGGCUGUGGACACCGAGAGACUAGAGAACAUCGAGAAAGGGAGACCCCUGGAGGCAAGAAACUAUAAGACUGGGCUUCCCUGGUGGCGCAGUGGUUGAGAAUCUGCCUGCCGAU